ensembl:lncRNA
GGAUGAAGGCUGGAGCGGUCCCACGGACCCUCCAGCAGACGACGAAGGCUGAGGCGGUCCCUCGGACCCCCCAGCGAAGGCAAAUGAAGACUGAAGCGGUCCCACGGACCCUCCAGCGGAGGCAGAUGAAACUGAUGGAGGCCGGAGCGGUCCCCCCGACCCUCCAGCAGACGACGAAGGCUGAGGCGGUCCCUCGGACCCCCCAGCGAAGGCGGAUGAAGGCUGGAGCGGUCCCACGGACCCUCCAGCGACGGCGGACGGCUGAAGCGGUCCUCGGACCCCACAGUGAUUGGACGAGCCCCCAUAUGUUACACCCCGGCCUAGGCAACCGGGGUGCAACGUAGAAAAACAAAGAUAAGGAAAAUAAAAAUAAGGAAAAUAAAAAUAAGGUAAAAAAAACACACGAGAAAAAACUAAUACGGGUUUCCACAAAAAUCAUCCCAAAACGACCACUAUUUUCUUUAAAGCAAAAUGAUAUUUAUUUACAACGCAAGGCGCCAAACUAUUUACAACGGGGGGGGAAAAAGAUCGCGACCAUGACAACUGACACACAGGGCUUAAAUACAUGGAGGGAACAAUCA